rnacentral:lncRNA from 1 species
UGAGGUCUCUGACCGAAAGGAGACAGAGCAGUUGUAUGCUGUCCUUCUCACAGCUGGAGGUGCUGACGGUGAUCUGGAUGCCCAUCUGGAAGGAGACAGCAACGCAAGACUGCACAACAUAUAUAUGCAGUGUGACAGGAAUAUGGAAGAACUAAGUGUUGUUGGACAAAACUUUAGAAGCAGACAGAUCCAAUCUGAAAAUGGGAGGACGGAUGCACAACCAGCAUCACAGGAUUUACCAGUGUCUUCCACAUCAGGCUGUGCACCAUGGUCACUUCACAUCUUUGCUGUUACACCUAACUAUAAACCUGCUUUCCUUGAAAUCUGACUGCGUGAUAAUGAAUGGCAUGUCAAGACCUUGAGAUCCUGUAAGAUCUGCCCUUGAGGGUGAAAGCUAUAUUUACGUUUGUUCAAAAGACAACCACAAGUGUAAAAGUAUCAUGUUUGCUGAUGCACUCCUUUCAUACAUGCAUUUAGCAUGAGAAAGACUGACCAUCUUUUGGCUAUUGAAGACC